UUCAAAAACCUCUCAACUCUCUCUCAACUCCCCAGAAUCCGACUAGCUUUGGUCGUCGGACCACCAUGGCAGCCUCCGGCAGUCGGCGACGACGCCGCCGUUCGCAAUGGCCAGAAAAUCGAAAACGUCCAUUUUUUUGGGCUUUUCGACUCCCCGACUCAAAAAACACCGAUUUUUAUCAGAAUCGACACCUCCUCCGCAAAAAGGUACGAUUUUUAUCCUUUUUAUUUUCAGUUUUUUUUUAAAAAAAGGAAAAAAAAAAAGUAAAUAAAUAAGAAAUCAGAAGGUAAAAGAUCUACCUUCGAAAAUGGCUUGUAUUUGAACUGACUUUUUUCUGUUUUCUUUUGAUUCAUUCGUAAGUCAAAUACAUAAAAUCGGGGCUCCUUUUAUAGCCUGAAAAUACCACUUAUUUCUCUAUUUUUUCUAUUUUUUACACUAUUUUUUUUGCUUUUGGACUCUCCUAUUCCGUUUUGCAGGUACAGACAUGGCAGCACACGUGGAGGAGGCAGCGCGAAGGGCGUCUACUGUUGCGACGUGCGGCGGCUGCUGGUGGUUGCUGAUAGGGUUUUGUUUUUUUGUUUCUUGAAAACAUUGUGGGCUAGCUAGGAUUAGUUUUUAGGUUAUUGGGCUUGUUUUGGGUUUGCUAAUUUGGGCCUUUUUGUUGUACAUGGACUGGACAUUAAUUUAUUGAACUUUUAUUUUUCAUUUGAUUUAUUAUUAUUUUUGUUUGUUGCUUCUAAAUGGGUUUGGACAGAAUUUGGGCUUUACAGAAUUUGGGUUUGAUUUAUUAUUAUUUUUGUUUGUUGCUUCGAUUGUCAUGAGUAUUGUUGUCAAUGCAAGAAAACAUUGGUUCAA
rnacentral:lncRNA from 1 species